GUUUUAAAAAAGGUACUCCAGCACUUGAAGUGCAAAAAAGAUUCUAAAAGGCUCAUGUUGCAAGACAAAAUCUCAAGCACUGGAUGAUACAGAAGGAGGACAAAAUGAGAACACAACCCUGAAAAAAAACUGGUGAAAUAUGUCUCUUGCAGAUAGUAUCAAAUAUCACGACAUUGGAGACGAGCUGGUGGUGGA